CCUACGGGAGGCAGCAGUGGGGAAUAUUGCACAAUGGGGGAAACCCUGAUGCAGCGACGCCGCGUGAGUGAAGAAGUAUUUCGGUAUGUAAAGCUCUAUCAGCAGGGAAGCAAAUGACGGGACCUGAUUAAGAAGCCCCGGCUAACUACGUGCCAGCAGCCGCGGUAAUACGUAGGGGGCAAGCGUUAUCCGGAUUUACUGGGUGUAAAGGGAGCGUAGACGGCAGCACAAGUCUGGAGUGAAAUGCCGGGGCUUAACCCCGGAACUGCUUUGGAAACUGUGCAGCUAGAGUGCAGGAGAGGUAAGUGGAAUUCCUAGUGUAGCGGUGAAAUGCGUAGAUAUUAGGAGGAACACCAGUGGCGAAGGCGGCUUACUGGACUGUAACUGACGUUGAGGCUCGAAAGCGUGGGGAGCGAACAGGAUUAGAUACCCCAGUAGUC
rnacentral:rRNA from 1 species